rnacentral:rRNA from 1 species
AUGAACGCUGGGCGGCGUGCUUAACACAUGCAAGUUGAACGGGGAAAGUCCUUCGGGAUGAGUAUAGUGGCAAACGGGUGAGUAACGCGUAGAAAUCUGCCUUUUAGUGAAGAAUAUACCUGGGAAACCGGGGGCAAUACUGCAUACGUCCUUAACGGGAGAAAGAUGGCCUCUUGCUGUCGCUAAAAGAUGAGUCUGCGUACUAUUAGCUAGUUGGUAGGGUAAAGGCCUACCAAGGCGAUGAUGGUUAUCCGGCCUGAGAGGGUGAUCGGACACAUUGGGACUGAGACACGGCCCUAACUCCUACGGGAGGCAGCAGUGGGGAAUUUUGCGCAAUGGGCGAAAGCCUGACGCAGCAACGCCGCGUGGAGGAUGAAGGUCUUCGGAUUGUAAACUUCUAUUAAUUGAGAAGAAAGAGUUGAAGUUAAUAGCUUCGAAAGAUGACGUUAUCAAUUGAGAAAGUCCCGGCUAACUUCGUGCCAGCAGCCGCGGUAAUACGAAGGGGACAAGCGUUAUUCGGAAUGAUUGGGUGUAAAGGGCGCGUAGGCGGCAUUGUAAGUUUAUUGUUUAAUUCUUCGGCCUAACCGAAGACAUGCAAUAAAUACUGCAUUGCUUGAGUGUGAGAGAGAAAAGUGGAAUUCUCGAAGUAGCGGUAAAAUGCGUAGAUCUCGAGAGGAACGCCGAUGGCGAAGGCAGCUUUUUGGAGCACAACUGACGCUAAUGCGCGAAGGCGUGGGGAGCAAACAGGAUUAGAUACCCUGGUAGUCCACGCGGGUAAACGAUAAUCACUAGACGUUUGGACUUUAAGUCUAAGUGUCGUAGCUAACGCGUUAAGUGAUCCACCUGAAGAGUACGAUCGCAAGAUUAAAACUUAAAGAAAUUGACGGGGGCCCGCACAAGCGGUGGAACAUGUGGUUUAAUUCGACACUACGCGAGGAACCUUACCUGGGCUUGACAUGUAUAUGAUCGUUGUAGAAACAUAACUUCUGAAGAGCAAUCUUCAGCAUAUACACAGGUGCUGCAUGGCUGUCGUCAGCUCGUGUCGUGAGAUGUUAGGUUAAGUCCUUUAACGAGCGCAACCUCCUGUUGCUAGUUGCCUAUUCAUUUUUGAAGCACUCUAGCGAGACUGCCCGGGAAACUGGGAGGAAGGGGGGAAUGACGUCAAGUCCGCAUGGCCCUUAUGUCCAGGGCUACACACGUGUUACAAUGGCUGAUACAAAGGGUUGCGAACUCGCAAGAGGGAGCUAAUCUCAAAAAGCCGCUCUCAGUUCGGAUUGGAGUCUGCAACUCGACUCCAUGAAGUUGGAAUCGCUAGUAAUCGCGGAUCAGCACGCCGCGGUGAAUACGUUCCCGGGCCUUGUACACACCGCCCGUCACACCAUGGAAGCCAGCUGUACCGGAAGUCGGUGCGCCAACCCGCAAGGAGGCAAGCCGCCUAUGGUAUGACUGGUGACUGGGGUG